rnacentral:rRNA from 1 species
AGCGAACGCUGGCGGCAGGCCUAACACAUGCAAGUCGAACGAAGUCUUCGGACUUAGUGGCGGACGGGUGAGUAACACGUGGGAACGUACCUUUUGGUUCGGAACAACUCAGGGAAACUUGAGCUAAUACCGGAUGAGCCCUUAGGGGGAAAGAUUUAUCGCCGAAAGAGCGGCCCGCGUUAGAUUAGCUAGUUGGUGAGGUAAAGGCUCACCAAGGCUACGAUCUAUAGCUGGUCUGAGAGGAUGAUCAGCCACACUGGGACUGAGACACGGCCCAGACUCCUACGGGAGGCAGCAGUGGGGAAUCUUGCGCAAUGGGCGAAAGCCUGACGCGGCCAUGCCGCGUGAAUGAUGAAGGUCUUAGGAUUGUAAAAUUCUUUUACCAGGGACGAUAAUGACGGUACCUGGAGAAAAAGCCCCGGCUAACUUCGUGCCAGCAGCCACCGUAAAAC